CCGGCAGAAACGCGGUCAAUAGCACGGCUCGGUUGCACUUGCCCGCGCUGCUGCCUCCUUCUCAGCCUGGCUGGCGGAAGAAAACUAACACUGUUUUCAAGAGCGUUAACUUUUCACGGACACUGGAUCAACCUUAGGAAGUUCUUGAUGGAAGUCAUAGUCACAGUGCUCUACUUCUGCUAAUUCCAGGUUGGAGCUGCUCAUUGUCAUCAGCUGAAAUGUGUCACUACUGUUUAAAAUCUAUCAAUGAUCUGGAACAGGGGAUCGAGUGCACCCUCAGUAAGUUUGCAGAUGACACCAAGUUGGAUGGGAAUGUUGAUCUGCUCAAGGCUCUACAGAGGGACCUGGACAGGCUGAACUGAUGGGCCAAGGCCAAGUUUAACAAGGCCAAGUGCUGGGUCCUGCACUUGGGUCACAACAACCCCAUGUAACGCUACAGGCUUGAGGAGGAGCGGCUGGAGAGCUGCCCAGCGGAGAAGGACCUGGGGAUGCUUGUCAACAGCCGGCUGAACAUGAGCCAGCAGUGUGCCCAGGUGGCCAACAGCAUCCUGGCUUGUAUCAGGAAUAGUGUGGCCAGCAGGAGCAGAGAAGUGAUUGUGCCGGUGUACUCAGCACUGGUGAGGCCGCACCUUGAAUACUGUGUUCAGUUUUGGGCCCCUCAGUACAGGAGGGACAUUGAGGUGCUGGAGUGUGUCCAGAGAAGGGCAAUGAAGCUGGUGAAGGCUCUGGAGAACAAGUCUGAUAAGGAGCAGCUGAGGGAGCUGGGGUUGUUUAGCCUGGAGAAGAGGAGGCUGAGGGGAGACCUUAUCGCUCUCUACAAUUACCUGAAAGGAGGUUGUAGCGAUGCGGGGGUCGGUCUCUUCUUGCUAGUAACAAGCGAUAGGACAAGACGAAAUGGCCUUAAGUUGCACCAGGGGAGGUUUAGACUGGAUAUUGGGAAAAUUUUCUUUCCGAAAGGGUUGUUAAGUGUUGGAACAGGCUGCCUGGGGAAGUGUGUGAGUCACCAUCCCUGGAGGUAUUUAUAAGAGGUGUAGAUGUGUUGCUCAGGGACAUGGUUUAGUGGUGGACUUGGCAGCGCUGGGUUAACGGUUGGACUUGAUGAUGGUAAAGGUCUUUUCCAACCUAAACAAUUCUAUGAUUCUAUGAUUUCUACAUGUUAUCAUUUAUAGAUCACCAUGUAUUAAUGACAUGUGUGACUGAUUAGAAGAGUACUAACUGGGUGAUUUUUCAUAGAAAUAAUGACUUGUACAGAUAUUUGGAAAUGUUUAAAAGUGCAUUAAUAUGUUACCGGAAUGCAUAUGAACAAGAGAAAUGCUACACAUGUUAAUUAAUAUCCUUCUGCACUACUGAUUAGUAAAAAACAACAGUCAAGAUACCUUUCUGGCAAAACUCUGAGAUGAAAGAUCAGUGGAAAUUAAGAGUAAUGAAAGCAAACAAAAAUACUUUCUUUGGCUGCUGUUGGAAUGAUCUGUCUUCUCUCCUCUAGUGCUUUGGUAAUGAUCCUUCAGCUGCAGCUCCUCUGGCCUUUGCAUCUCUCUGGCUGGACACAGAUCUGCACCCAGCUGCAAAAUAAAAUUGGUAACUGAAUACACUCAGGAAAAUUGAUUGUGUUGCUCUUGCCAGAAUUAAAAACUACACUGGUACAGCAUUGGUUGAAUAAUUGUUAUAGCUUAUAGCAUAGUGUCUUCAAGAGAAGCCUGAGUUGCCAAGCCGUUGCUGUGUCUAAACAGUUCCUGUAACUUAGUCAGGUUUUGGCUUGAAUCUCCUGAAGAUGCCAUGAUAAGCCCCUUCAGCCAGUUUGAUUUCUUCUAACUUGAUUUCUUCUAACUUUUUGGGCAGUAGUCCAGAGAACAUUGAACUGUCUCUCUUGCAUAACAAGAUACCUGGCACCAGCCUUCCAAAGUAUGAAGGGGAUCAGUGGUCUGAUUGCUGUGGAGUUUCAGGGACAGGUCCUUGCUGUUCAGGAGCUCUACCCUACAUUUUGUCAAUCUCUGUCUGAAUCUGAGCUAGACCAGGUGCUCCAGAACUGCAGAGGGAGCUAUAGGGAGUGAUUGGCAUUUCCCUGCUCAACUCCGCAGUACAGGCCAAGGCCAAGGUAAAUCCCUGGGUAUGGUAUACAUGCGGAGUAUGUAUCGCAGGCAUACUGAGGCUGCUGAGUGAUGUGAGGUCACUGCAAAGGUGGCAUACAGGAGAAGGAGCAGACACCCUGGAGCCAGCAGAGGAACUUGCCAGCGCUGCCAAGCCCUGAAUCUGAACUCCUGUGAGGGAUAUAGUUAUCUGGGCACUUUCCAACAGUGUUUCAGUAGGAACAAUCUGAGCAUCUCCUUUGUCCCGUGUUUAAAGGAUGAGGCAAACAAGGAAGGGGGCUACCCUUGUGGAAAUGUCAUUGAACUUCUGCCAUGUUUCUCAAAGGCAGGAAAGAAGUAACCACAGAAAAAAACCAGCAUUUGCAUAAGUGAAGAACAAUAUAGCCACUAAGACAUUGACUUUGCAAAGCACUCUGGCAAAGUAUCACCAUUGACUCAACAGAAGGAGUGGUGCAGACAGGAACAGGUCCAUGCAGCAUCUCCUUUUUCUCCUAAGUGCCUCAGGCUGACUGUAAAUCAAACAGAUUUUCUUCAAGAUGGAGGAAAAUGGUCAUCAGGAUCCAUCACAUAGCGUAGGCUCAGCUGUGUCACUGAAAACCUGUUUGAAAGUCCUCAUCUAAUACCUUCUGGGACUGCUCUGAACUGGCCAGAACCACGCAACUUGCAAAGUACCACAGUCCUAAAAACUGCAUGAUCUAAUGGUACUAAAAGAAGCUGGAAAAGGAAGAACAGCCAACUGCUGCCUGCAGUUGCUCCUGUGAUUAACAUAAUUUUUAUGCAACCAAUACACUGAAAUCAAUUCAAAAUACCAGACAAUCUAACAAUUAGAUCCUUCCUAGUGAUUCUUCCAGAAAGAGAAUUUCCAAGAAAGAAUUAGAAAAGCAAUAGUAUUUCGUGAGAAGCCCUAGAUACUGGGUUGGAGAAAAGUUCUAUUUGUUUGACCACAGAUCAAAAACCAGAUAAAACUGAGUUAUCAAGGAUGGAGUCUUCUUCAUUUCUUUUCUCCAGCUGUAACCCAAACCAACUGAAGUUAGUAAAAUAAAAAACAAAAAAUAAAAACCACACAAUAAAACAAGUAAAUUUGUUAACUUUAUACUCUUCCAGGGAACUUCAAACACUGUAGCUGAUUUUACUUGAAUCUUCUUCAAAACAUGGAAACAUUAUUAAAUUCAAGUAAAUGCUGGAAUUUCAGAGUGGGGUACUUUGUGGGGUACUUUGUAGGGUACUUAGAGCAUCCCUCUGAAAAUUUCAAGGUAUUUUAUUAGUUUUCACCUUCAUCACUAGCUUGAAAUACCACUGGGAGGCAGAAAAGAAGCAAGCUUUGACUCUAUAGCACAGAUUGACUGGCAAACUGUGGUGCAUGUUGCAUGUUUCAAAAAGCACAUAUAGCACUCACAAGAGGAUGUUGUCUUAAAUAAAGAACUGUUCUUGUAACCCAGUGAGAGGGGAGGCAGAAGCAGGGGAAGAGAAGGAAGGAUGUAGCGCAGAUUGUAUUCCUGGCUUGAAUUUUAGUAUUUGUUCUCCACUUCUGUGGUCUACCAGCUAACCCAAGCAUGUGUCAUGUUAUUUUACGUUUCCUCUUGGAAAUUUUUUCUUCAUUGUUUAUUGUAAGCCUCUUGUUCACAACUGAGUCUUUUCUCAUUUCCACUGGCAUAAACUCCUGACCUCUAGCAGGCAGGCGGAUCUCGCAUCCUGUGGCAGCUGAACUACUGAAAUGUGCUUUUUCUGUCUUGUUCUAGACAGCACCCAGUUUCCAGGUUCAAGGACGAAUUAACUUACGUUUGUUCAACAGACUGGACAAAGUUAGAGCUAAUGCCAGUUCUUUUCAAGUAUAUUUUGGAUUGCUGCCCUUCUCUUAGAUGUUGCUUCACUUUUAAAGCCCAAAAAUGUAAUUUUAAUUGCAAAAUAAAAUUAAUCUAAUAAAUACAUGAUCUUGAAGCCCUCCCUUAUGCAAAUGAUUCAAAUUAUGCUGUGACAAAAAUGAAAUAUUUAAGGAUUUGGUUUCACAGAAUUAGAGUAAUAUGCACAUAUUUUUUGGCCCAAUUCCUUUACGAAAGAAGUGAUGGGGUAUACUAUUUUUAUAUAUGUUCUUUGAUUCUAUUUGUAACUGUAAUUAAACUUUUUUCCCUCAUUAGGUAGAUUUCUGGAUACCUAGGCAGACUUACUAAGCCUACAACUUGAUUUGGACAAAACAGUGCUGCCUGUUACAGAAAUGGGGUUGAGAGUGAUUCUGACAGUUCUUUUGUCCUAAGUUACGGAAAGGUUUCCUUAACCAGUAUUAGUUAUCCAGAGUAGAAGUAAAAAAAUCUAAAGUGGCCACAGCAUAAAUAUACUGGAUAGAUAUUUGCCUUAACAACAAUAAGUAGUGAGGAUUAUAGACAAGCUUCCCAAAAAAAGUUAAGCUUCUAAAUCAAAAUUUAGACGUCUAAGUUGUUUCUCAAAAGCACCGAACCUGCAGCAGUUCCCAUUGAGUGCUCAGGCUUGUAAACACAUGACUGAGAGGCAUGAUGGCAAUAUCAAGGGGGAAGGCAGUUGCUUUAAAAAACCUGGCACAGUCUGCUCUUGUAACAUACAGUUACAUUCCACAGUUUACACCACCAAAACUGAGCUCACAUGCAAAAGAUUUAUCCGAUGUUCCACUGUUGGAGGAAACAGUAUCGAAAAUAGGGAAAGUUGGUAGCUUUUGUGCUAGAAAGCUGCUCUAUGAAGAAGGUUACACUAAAUGCCUUACCUUGCUUUUCCUAAAUAAACAAAAAAAAUCUGCAAUUAAGGAACUGAUUUAAAAGAGGUAAACUCUUACUAAUGCAAAUUAUUUACUCUAGGUAGAGGAGAUAAAGCAUAUCUUACUGAAACCAUAUAAGCACUAAAUGAAAGGCUAUACUGAGAAAUUUAUAUAGCAGGUCUUAAAAUGGCCUCAAACAACUUGGAGAUUGAACUACAGUUUGCUUUUUGAACAGCUGCAUUUUAAAACUUCAAAAAGUUUUGGUUAAAAUGUAACAGAGUAGUUAAAAAACUUAACAAGGUUCUCCAAAAGCUUUUAUUAUUUCAGUAUUCACAUCACGAUUUGAUAGGAAAAGGAUGCCCUCUCUUGGUCAUAGCAGAAAUAAUUACAGGUGUGAUCUUGCUAUGGUAGUUGAGAUAGAAUUGCAUUCCCAGUGUCCUGCCUUGUCAAAAAUCCCCAUUUCUGCCAGAUAACAAUUGUUUGAUAAUUUAGUGAUAGUCUUUUUGUAAUUUGGAGGCAGGAGUUUCCCUCUGCUUGUCUUUAGAAUUGUGCAAUAGAUAACAAAUGUCAGUGAAUAAAAAAUACUUGCACUGUUCCUCACGCUGCUACAAUAUUCCUGUUUCCAUGACGCUCCAUUAUCAAGGAAUGAAAAGAAAUACUGACAACAUAAUGGGAGCUCCAUGCAUUUGGAAAACGACUGUCUUUCCUGUAUCUCAUUUUUACAUAAAACUUUAAGUUGAAGUUGUAUUCAACUAAAUUUUACUUUCUGAAGUCCUAUUGUUAAUAUAUAGAAAACUUAAGUAAAUUAUUAUAGUAAUACACUUUACUAAAGACACUGAAACGCCACUAUGGGCCUAGGGGGUUUGUUUUGCUUUCUAUCUUCUGUGAGCAAAUUGUUGAAAGGAAUUAAUGUUGCCACCCCUGAGAACACUUUACUUCUGUAACCAUUCCUGUAUUAGUAAUUUUUUCUGGAGUCAUGUGCUUGCUUGGUAAAUGCAAAUAUCUCACCAGGUAUUUGGCUCAAUGCCUUCACUACUUUAGAAAUUGUUUGGAGAUUGGAUUUCUGAUUAGCAUAAUUAUGCUCAUUUUUAUUCUUGGUUUGCUUGCCAAAUACUCAGACUCAAACUUCCUGCUUGUUCGUAUUUUGUAGGCAAUAGGUUAGUCAUAGUCUGCUUGUUUUUCACGGAAAGAUUGCAAAGAUGCAUGAUCAAAAGAAGUAGUACUAUAAUGUCCGGCAAUUCUACCCCAUGUCCUAAAAUGGGAGUGCACUGAAAAGGUUUCAACAUGUUUGAUUUAAACUAUAGUUUCUGUCUUACAUAACAAGAACAGCUUCAUAAGAUCACAAAUGGUAAUUAACUCUUUGCAAAUAUGCUGAAAUGAUUCAUUUUUGCUCCCUCCAGCACAAUUAUCUGAUACCAGUAAGAGACAUUUCUGCCUUUUUCAGGGAUGUGUGACCACCAUUCAGAGUUUGAAGUAUAGUUAGAUCUAUAUUAGGAAUUGAUAGUUCAUAAUGUAGUGCUUUGGAUCAUAUAGUAACCAAACCUGAAAAAGACUAGCCAAAAAAAAGUACAAAAGCUUUACUCUUGAGGAAGGAAAGCACUCCUUACACAAAAAACAUACUUGCAGAUAGAGAUGGGAAGCUUGCAGUUUGUUUGAAGCUUCUUAGGAAAAUAUGGUGUGAUACAAAACCAGCAUGGUAGCAACCCUUCAGUACAAGCUCUGCAAAGGGGGUGUUAUUAUCAAUUCUGAAGAACUACCUUUCCAUUCCUAGUUCUGUUAAAAUCAGAUUUAUCCUCAGAAUAUCUGCUUGGGUCUGAAGCAACAUUAACUUUCCAUUUAGCAGAUGUAUCUCUCUGAAAAAAGAGGAAAGUUUUAUUAAAGUGACAAGGCUGUUAGUAGAGAAGACAGAAUCACAGUAUUAAGUAACAUAUAAAACCAAAUUAAGUAAUAUAUAGUUUACACUUAUGGGCACAAAUUUAAAGCUUCCAUUUGUCCACAAACAAGCUCCAAAUAACUCAAGACAGCACUACUUGAGGAGGCAUUUAUCUCCACGCCUAUGGUCAGCAAAGAUGGCUUGGUGGCUCUACAGCACAUUCACUCUUGACAUGGAAGACCCCAAAUCUGGUGACCAUGUAGACAGGCUACAAUCGCCAUUCAAACCCUCUGUGGUGAAUGAACUCUAGGUAUUCUGCACCGAUGAUGGACAGAGUAAAGUUUCAUGUACGUGCCAGUUGGUGAAAGGACUAUAUUGAAUGAUGAAGUUUUAACACUACAUUCAGAAACCUGUUCUUUAUUACAGCACUCGUUUGUUACUUUAUUGUACCUACUGCUGGUGUAUUGUAAUACAAUAUUUUUGUAGAGGAAACUGUACAAUUUCCUCUACAGAUGUAAAUGUUUGCUGGAACAAAGUCUUCCUGACAAAAACACCAUUAAAGAAUUCUCAAGCAUUUCAGUGUCCUUAAGAUGAGAUAAUGUUUUUCUAUUUAAAGACUUGCUUUAAAUAUGAGAUAAUAAUUUUCUGUUUAAAGACUUGCUUUAAAGCAAUAAUCUGUUUUAUAAAUAAAAGAUUUGUAAGUAUGAAGCA